AUACUCUCAUAUGACCGAUAGUGUAACAGUACCGUGAGGGAAAGGUGAAAAGUACCCCGAGAGGGGAGUGAAAUAGACCUGAAACCGUAAUCUUACAAGCCGUAGAAGGCUCGAUGCGUCGGGCUAACUGCGUGCCUAUUGAAGAAUGAGCCGGCGAGUUAAUUUAUGCAGCACGGUUAAGGAAUUGGAAUUCCGGAGCCAUAGCGAAAGCGAGUCCGAACAGGGCGUUGAGUUGUAUGGAUUAGACCCGAAACCGUGUGAUCUACCCUUGGCCAGGUUGAAGCCCAGAUAGUCUCUGGGUGAAGGACCGAACCCGUGUCUGGUACAAAAGGCUGGGAUGAGCUGAGGGUAGGGGUAAAAUGCCAAUCGAACACGGAGAUAGCUGGUUCUCCCCGAAAUGUAUUUAGGUACAGCGUUCGGGUAGUCUUGUGGAGGUAGGGCACUGGAUAGGUAAGGGGGCGUGAGCCUACCAAACUUAACCAAACCACGAAUGCCGCAAGAUGGUCCCGGGCAGUGAGACAGUGGGGGAUAAGCUCCAUUGUCGAGAGGGAAACAGCCCAGAUCGCAGGCUAAGGUCCCUAAGUGUGUGCUAAGUGUGAAACGAAGUUAAAUUGCUAAAACAGCUAGCAGGUUGGCUUAGAAGCAGCCAUCCUUUAAAGAGUGCGUAAUAGCUCACUAGUCGAGGAAUCUUGCGCGGAAAAUGUAACGGGGCUAAAGCACACCACCGAAGCCGCGGGCUCGCUUAUAGCGAGCGGUAGGGGAGCGUUGUCAGGGCGUCGAAGCUGGAUCGUGAGGUCCAGUGGAGCGCUGAGAAGUGAGAAUGCCGGCAUGAGUAGCGACAAUCCUGGUGAGAAUCCAGGACACCGAAAGCAUAAGGUUUCCUACGCAAUGCUGAUCAGCGUAGGGUAAGUCGGGCCUAAGCCGUAGCGUAUAGCGAAGGCGAUGGACAGCAGGUCAAAAUUCCUGCACCGCAGACAUAGCGUUUUAAAGCAAAGGGGGGACACGGAAAGAUAGGCGGAGCGCACCCAUCGGACAUGGUGCGUCGGACCCUGAAGGCCAAGCUGGGAUAGGCAAAUCCGUUCCAGCGUGAUGAGCUGAGGGGGUUGGAAACUCCAGGGCUUAUGCCCGGGGGAAUUCCGUUGAUUCUAUGCCGUCGAGAAAAUCCUCGUUGCAAGUUUUGUCAGCGUCCGUACCGCAAACCGACACAGGUAUGUAGGGGUAAGUAUCCCAAGGUGAACGAGAGAACCCUCGUUAAGGAAUUCGACAAGUUGACUCCGUAACUUCGGGAUAAGGAGUACCCGUGGGGUGAAAGUCACUAGCUGACUGGAUGCCCUUGCGGGUGGCACUAAACAGGCUCAGGCGACUGUUUAUCAAAAACACAGGUCUCUGCUAAAGCGAAAGCUGAUGUAUAGGGGCUGACGCCUGCCCAGUGCCGGAAGGUUAAAGUGAGGGGUCAGCCUCCUUCGGGAGGCGAAGCUCUGAGCUGAAGCCCCGGUGAACGGCGGCCGUAACUAUAACGGUCCUAAGGUAGCGAAAUUCCUUGUCGGGUAAGUUCCGACCUGCACGAAAGGCGUAACAACUGGAGCGCUGUCUCAACGAAGGACCCGGCGAAAUUGAAGUAUGCGUAAAGAUGCGUAUUACCCGCAGCAGGACAAAAAGACCCCGGCAGCUUUACUAUAGCUUGGCAUUGCGUUUGGACUUAGUUUGUCCAGGAUAGGUGGGAGGCUGUGAAACUGGAGCGCCAGCUUCGGUGGAGCCAUCCUUGGGAUACCACCCUGACUGAGUUUAGACCCUAACCCCAGACCGUCAUCCGGCUGGGGAACCGUGCCAGGUGGGUAGUUUGACUGGGGCGGUCGCCUCCUAAAAGGUAGCGGAGGCGCCCAAAGGUUCCCUCAGGCUGAAUGGAAACCAGCCGCAGAGUGCAAAGGCAUAAGGGAGCUUGACUGCAAGACCUACAAGUCGCGCAGAGACGAAAGUCGGGCUUAGUGAUCCCACGGUUCUGAGUGGAAAGGCCGUGGCUCAACGGAUAAAAGCUACGCCGGGGAUAACAGGCUAGUCUUGCCCAAGAGUUCACAUCGACGGCAAGGCUCGGCACCUCGAUGUCGGCUCAUCGCAUCCUGGGGCUGGAUAAGGUCCCAAGGGUUGGGCUGUUCGCCCAUUAAAGCGGUACGUGAGCUGGGUUCAGACCGUCGUGAGACAGGUCGGUCUCUAUCCGCUGUGGGCGCAGGGGAUUUGAAGGGAGCUGCUCCUAGUACGAGAGGACCGGAGUGGACAGACCUCUGGUGUGUCAGUUGUCGUGCCAACGGCAUCGCUGAGUAGCUACGUCUGGCAAGGAUAACCGCUGAAAGCAUCUAAGUGGGAAACCUGCCCUAAGAUUAGAUUCCCCAAACCUUGUGUUUGUAAGACCGCAGGAAGACUACCUGCUUGAUAGGCGACCAGGUGUAAGCACAGCAAUGUGUGAGCCUAGGCGUACUAAUGGUCGAGAGGCUUCACCAA
rnacentral:rRNA from 1 species